rnacentral:piRNA from 1 species
UGCAGCUUCAACAGUUUCUCAGCAUGUUCCC